UACGAAGGGUGCAAGCGUUAAUCGGAAUUACUGGGCGUAAAGCGCGCGUAGGUGGUUUGUUAAGUUGGAUGUGAAAGCCCCGGGCUCAACCUGGGAACUGCCUCCAAAACUGGAAAGCUAGAGUAUGGCAGAGGGUGGUGGAAUUUCCUGUGUAGCGGUGAAAUGCGUAGAUAUAGGAAGGAACACCAGUGGCGAAGGCGACCAACUGGGCUAAUACUGACACUGAGGUGCAAAAACGUGGGGAGCAAACAGGAUAAGAUACCCCGGUAGUCC
rnacentral:rRNA from 1 species